AAGUAGGUCGGGACACGUGUUAUCUUGACUGAAGAUAGGGGGACCAUCCUCUAAGGCUAAAUACUACCAACUGACCGAUAGUGAACCAGUACCGUGAGGGAAAGGCGAAAAGAACCCCUGUGAGGGGAGUGAAAUAGAACCUGAAACCGUGUACGUACAAGCAGUGGGAGCACGCUUAGGCGUGUGACUGCGUACCUUUUGUAUAAUGGGUCAGCGACUUAUUUUCAGUGGCGAGCUUAACCGAAUAGGGGAGGCGUAGCGAAAGCGAGUCUUAAUAGGGCGUCUAGUCGCUGGGAAUAGACCCGAAACCGGGCGAUCUAUCCAUGGGCAGGUUGAAGGUUGGGUAACACUAACUGGAGGACCGAACCCACUGUCGUUGAA
rnacentral:rRNA from 1 species